GACAGAGGGGGCAAGCGUUGCUCGGAAUUACUGGGCGUAAAGGGCGCGUAGGCGGGCUGGCAAGUCGGUCGUGAAAUCCCUCGGCUCAACUGAGGAUCGUCGAUCGAUACUGCCGUUCUUGAGGAUUGCAGAGGAGACUGGAAUUCCCGGUGUAGCGGUGAAAUGUGUAGAGAUCGGGAGGAACACCGGUGGCGAAGGCGGGUCUCUGGGCAAUUCCUGACGCUGAGGCGCGAAAGCGUGGGGAGCAAACGGG
rnacentral:rRNA from 1 species